AUACGGAGGAUCCGAGCGUUAUCCGGAUUUAUUGGGUUUAAAGGGUGCGUAGGUGGUUUGAUAAGUCAGCGGUGAAAGUUUGCAGCUUAACUGUAAAAAUGCCGUUGAAACUGUCGGACUUGAGUGUAAAUGAGGUAGGCGGAAUGCGUGGUGUAGCGGUGAAAUGCAUAGAUAUCACGCAGAACUCCAAUUGCGAAGGCAGCUCACUGGGGUACAACUGACACUGAGGCUCGAAAGUGUGGGUAUCAAACAGGAUUAGAUACCCUGGUAGUCCACACAGUAAACGAUGAAUACUCGCUGUUUGCGAUAUACAGUAAGCGGCCAAGCGAAAGCAUUAAGUAUUCCACCUGGGGAGUACGCCGGCAACGGUGAA
rnacentral:rRNA from 1 species